rnacentral:rRNA from 1 species
CCCAGACUCCUACGGGAGGCAGCAGUGGGGAAUAUUGGACAAUGGGGGGAACCCUGAUCCAGCGACGCCGCGUGAGUGAAGAAGUAUUUCGGUAUGUAAAGCUCUAUCAGCAGGGAAGAAAGAAAUGACGGUACCUGACUAAGAAGCCCCGGCUAACUACGUGCCAGCAGCCGCGGUAAUACGUAGGGGGCAAGCGUUAUCCGGAUUUACUGGGUGUAAAGGGAGCGUAGACGGAAAGGCAAGUCAGCUGUGAAAACUACGGGCUUAACUUGUAGACUGCAGUUGAAACUGGUUUUCUUGAGUGGAGUAGAGGGUGGCGGAAUUCCGAGUGUAGCGGUGAAAUGCGUAGAUAUUCGGAGGAACACCGGUGGCGAAGGCGGCCAACUGGGCUUUAACUGACGCUGAGGCUCGAAAGUGUGGGGAGCAAACAGGAUUAGAUACCCCAGUAUAC